UACGAAGGGGGCUAGCGUUGCUCGGAAUGACUGGGCGUAAAGGGCGCGUAGGCGGCCUUCUAAGUCGAACGUGAAAUCCCCGGGCUCAACCCGGGAACUGCGUCCGAUACUGGAAGGCUUGAAUCCGGGAGAGGGAUGCGGAAUUCCAGGUGUAGCGGUGAAAUGCGUAGAUAUCUGGAGGAACACCGGUGGCGAAGGCGGCAUCCUGGACCGGCAUUGACGCUGAGGCGCGAAAGCCAGGGGAGCAAACGGGG
rnacentral:rRNA from 1 species